rnacentral:rRNA from 1 species
CAGUCGCCGCGGGAAUACGUAGGUGGCAAGCGUUGUCCGGAAUUAUUGGGCGUAAAGGGCUCGCAGGCGGUUUCUUAAGUCUGAUGUGAAAGCCCCCGGCUCAACCGGGGAGGGACAUUGGAAACUGGGAAACUUGAGUGCAGAAGAGGAGAGUGGAAUUCCACGUGUGGCGGUGAAAUGCGUAGAGAUGUGGAGGAACACCAGUGGCGAAGGCGACUCUCUGGUCUGUAACUGACGCUGAGGAGCGAAAGCGUGGGGAGCGAACAGGAUUAGAUACCCCUGUAGUCCCUGUCUCUUAUAC